rnacentral:rRNA from 1 species
AGCUAAUACUUGCUUUAGCACUCUUGAUUAAGUUCUUGAGUGUGUACUUGUUAAGCCUUUUAAGAAAAAAGUUAUUAACUUAAGGAAUUAUAACAAAGAAGCAACACGUAAAUGGAUUUUCCAUUUUUUAGUGUGUAUCAAUCGAGUUUCUGACCUAUCAGCUUUUGAUGUUAGGGUAUUGGCCUAACAUGGCUAUGACGGGUAACGGGGAAUUAGAGUUCGAUUCCGGAGAGGGAGCCUGAGAAAUAGCUACCACAUCUAAGGAAGGCAGCAGGCGCGUAAAUUACCCAAUUCUAAAGAAGAGAGGUAGUGACAAGAAAUAACAAUACAAGGCCAAUCUGGCUUUGUAAUUGGAAUGAUGGGAAUUUAAAACCUUCCCAAAACUCAAUUGGAGGGCAAGUCUGGUGCCAGCAGCCGCGGUAAUUCCAGCUCCAAUAGCGUAUAUUAAAAUUGUUGCAGUUAAAACGCUCGUAGUUGAAUUUCAAAGAAUCGAUAUUUUAAGUAGCACUUUGUGGAUUAAUCCACAUAACUGAUACUACGUAUCGACUUUGUGCGCAUUUUUCUACUUAUGUGUUCUUUUAAUUAAAAUGAUUCUUUUUAAGAUCUUUCUUUUUUGCUUCGGCAUUUUAGGAGAUCUUGUUACUUUGAGUAAAUUAGAGUGUUCAAAGCAAACAGAUUAUAGCAUCUUUAUGCGUUUGAAUACUACAGCAUGGAAUAACAAAAUUGAACAAGUCAGAAUUUUGUUCUUUUUUCUUAUUUUGGCUUAGUUACGAUUAAUAGGAGUAGCUUGGGGGCAUUUGUAUUCAGAUGUCAGAGGUGAAAUUCUUAGAUUUUCUGGAGACAAACAACUGCGAAAGCAUUUGCCUAAAAUACUUCCAUUAAUCAAGAACGAAAGUUAAGGGAGUGAAGACGAUCAGAUACCGUCGUAAUCUUAACCAUAAACUAUGCCGACUAGGCUUUGGAUGAAAGAUUUUAAAAUAAGAGUUUUUUCUCUGAGGAGUUAAAACUCUUAGAUUGCUUCCUUCAGUGCCUUAUGAGAAAUCAAAGUCUUUGGGUUCUGGGGCGAGUAUUCGCGCAAGCGAGAAAGUUAAAAGAAUUGACGGAAGGGCACCACCAGGCGUGGAGCUUGCGGCUUAAUUUGACUCAACACGGGAAAACUCACUAGUUUAAGACAAGAGUAGGAUUGACAGAUUAAUAGCUCUUUCUUGAUUUCUUGGAUGGUGAUGCAUGGCCGUUUUUAGUUCGUGAAUAUGAUUUGUCUGGUUAAUUCCGAUAACGAACGAGAUCUUAACCUGCUAAUUAGCGGCAAAUACGAUAUAUUCUUAUGUGCAAUUGAAUAUAGUUGAUUUGCUUAUUUUGAAGAAAAUAUUGGGAUACGUAAAUGUAUCCCUUUCCCUUUUCUACUUAAUUUGCUUAUCAUACUAUUUCUUUUUUGCGUAAGAAUGUAUUUGCUUGAUUGUAAAGCUUCUUAGAGGAACGAUGUGUGUCUAACACAAG